rnacentral:rRNA from 1 species
GACAGAGGUGCCGAGCGUUAGGCGGAAUCACUGGGCUUAAAGCGUGUGUAGGCGGAUCGUUAAGUACCUUGUGAAAUCCCACGGCUUAACCGUGGAACUGCUGGGUAUACUGGCGAUCUUGAGCCACCUAGGGGCAACCGGAACAAGUGGUGGAGCGGUGAAAUGCGUAGAUAUCAUUUGGAACGCCAAUGGUGAAAACAGGUAGCUGGGGAUGUGCUGACGCUGAGACACGAAAGCCAGGGGAGCAAACGGG